rnacentral:rRNA from 1 species
GUGUUAUACAGCGAAACUGCGAAUGGCUCAUUAAAACAGUUAUAGUUUAUUUGAUAAUCGAAUUUACAUGGAUAACCGUGGUAAUUCUAGAGCUAAUACAUGCUGGUGUGCCCGACUUUUGCGGAAGGGCGGUAUUUAUUAGAUAACAAGCCAAUAUUCCUCUGGUCUAUUGUGGUGACUCAUAAUAACUGAUCGAAUCGCAAGGCCUUUGGCCGCGAUAAGUCAUUCAAGUUUCUGCCCCAUCAGCUUUCGAUGGUAGUGUAUUGGACUACCAUGGCGUUUACGGGUAACGGAGGAUUAGGGUUCGAUUCCGGAGAGGGAGCCUGAGAAACGGCUACCACAUCUAAGGAAGGCAGCAGGCGCGUAAAUUACCCAAUCCUGACUCAGGGAGGUAGUGACAAGAAAUAACGGACCGAGGCCUUCGGGCUUCGGGAUUGGAAUGAGCCGAAUUUACACCCCUUAGCGAAGAUCGAUUGGAGGGCAAGUCUGGUGCCAGCAGCCGCGGUAAUUCCAGCUCCAAUAGCGUAUAUUAAAGUUGUUGCAGUUAAAAAGCUCGUAGUUGGAUUUCUGGGAGGGUGCCGAUGUCCACUUAACGUGUGCGCAGCGGCGCCCUCUCAUCCUUCUGUUAGCGUCUCUUGGCAUUCAUUUGCUGGUGGCGGGCUCAGAUAUUUUACCUUGAGAAAAUUAGAGUGUUUCAGGCAGGCUAGGCCGGAAUACAUUAGCAUGGAAUAAUGGAAUAGGACUACGGUCUCUUUGUUGGUUUGAGGGACUGCAGUAAUGAUUAAUAGGGAUAGUUGGGGGCAUUAGUACUUAACUGUCAG